rnacentral:tRNA from 1 species
GGGGAUUUAGCUCAGCAGUAGAGCGCUUGCCUAGCGAGCACAAGGCCCUGGGUUCGGUUCCCAGCUCCA